rnacentral:lncRNA from 1 species
GUUACAGGCUGAAAGAAUGAAUGAGCGACACAGGAUGAAAGAGAGCAAGUGAACAGGCUACUGGGGAAGAUGCCUGUAACAACAUCACCAACCACAGUUGGGGUAAUGGAGAAUUUCUAAGAUGAAUACCCCUGAACUACAUGAAAAGUUAAAAUUAUACUCUCCUGUACCAGAAAGAGAGCUACGAUCGACAGGACUUUAUUUAUGGACAGUAACAUUCCUACUUAUUCUGAGGUCAUGCUUCCUGAACACUGCAAUCAAAUUAAAAUAACCUUAAAUAGCACUUGGAAGGGCAAAUAGCUCACAAAGCCCAACAGACUGUCCCUUAAGAGAGGUAGAAGAAAACUGAAUAACUGAAGCAAUCACCAGCAGGUUCUAGCAGCUAGACACAAUGAUAUCAAUUAGAAGUAACCAAUUCAUUCAUUUUUCUAGUUUUCAGCAGCAAACCAUCUGUAGUUAUUUUGUCAUAGAGGCAAAUGACACUCUUUGAGGACUCUAUUGUAUUAUAAAAGAAUAUAUAACUUGACCUUCAAUCAACAAGAGAAGGUUAAAUGUUAUUUAAGUAGAUUUUGAGAAACAUAACAACUGUGAUACC